AUACAGAGGGUGCGAGCGUUAAUCGGAAUUACUGGGCGUAAAGCGCGCGUAGGCGGUCUAUUAAGUCAGAUGUGAAAUCCCAGGGCUCAACGUUGGAACUGCAUCUGAUACUGGUAGACUAGAGUUUUGGAGAGGGAAGUAGAAUUUCAGGUGUAGCGGUGAAAUGCAUAGAGAUCUGAAGGAAUACCAGUGGCGAAGGCGACUUCCUGGCCAAAAACUGACGCUGAGGUGCGAAAGCGUGGGUAGCAAACGGGAUUAGAAACCCCAGUAGUCC
rnacentral:rRNA from 1 species